GUCCUUUUGAUUAUAAUUUAAGGUCUAACCUGCCCACUGAUUAAUUAAAUGGCCGCGGUAUCUUGACCGUGCAAAGGUAGCAUAAUCAUUAGUUUUUUAAUUGAAAGCUAGAAUGAAUGGUUGAAUAAGAAAAAAUCUGUCUCAGUUUAGAUUUAUUAAAACUUUAUUUUUAAGUGAAAAAGCUUAAAUAUGAUUUAAAGACGAGAAGACCCUAUAGAGUUUUAUAAAAAAUUUUUAUAAAAAUUUAAGUUUAAAAUUUUUUUGUGUAGGUUUUUUAUUUAAUUGGGGUGAUUUAAAAAUUUAAUAAACUUUUUUAUUUUCAUACAUUAAUUUAUGAUUAGUUGAUCCAUUUUAAUGAUUAAAAGAUAAAAUUACCUUAGGGAUAACAGCGUAAUUUUUUUUGAGAGUUCUUAUCGAAAAAAGAGAUUGCGACCUCGAUGUUGGAUUAAAAUUAAUAUUUGGUGAAGAAGCUAAAUUAUUAAGUCUGUUCGACUUUUAAAAUUUUACA
rnacentral:rRNA from 1 species